ACAUAAAAGAAAUAAAUAAUGACAUCGUGUUUUUAUAUAAUAAUAAAUAACAGUUAAUUACUCGUCAUUUAGUAGAUUUUCUCCUUACUUUAAUCGAUCAUUAUUUACUGCAAUUCUUACAAGAAAUAAACAGGACAGUCGUUUCGCGCUAGUUUUUAUACGUUCAGUUGUUUACAUUUUUUCUUACAAAAAAGAAUGUUUCUUUCAGUGUUUCUAGUGUGUUAAAUUUAAUAAUACUCUAACACUUUGUUCUACAGUGAUGUAUGUUCCAGCUGGUAACAGUGAAUUUAUGAAGAAAACUUUGGUCGCCCAGGAAGAAAGUGGUUUUAAAGAUGUUGACGGGCAUUAUUCUAGAAAAGAGCCAUCAUUCCAGUAUGCUGAAAACAUCCCCUCAAGCUCUCCUGGUCCUAAAAAUGAGCACCAAAGGCCAAAGUGUCAGAGAUAAUGAUUGAACUGAUUCUAAAAAUGAGCCAUCCAGUAUUGGUGAAAUCGUCUCCUUCAAGCAUUCCUGGUUUCAAAAUCAGCAUCAAGGCCAAAGAGUCAGAGAUAAUGAUGAUGAUGAUGAUGACGAAGAAGCUGGCUUUGAACCAUCGAGUUCUGACGGUGCGGAAAUGGACUUGGCUACAGGCACAUCUUGUUUCAAGAACAGACAAGAAAGGGCAAGCUUAAAGGGUAAGGCUGGUAU